GGAAAACUAGAUGUGUAUCCUAGAGACAAAAAACAGAAUAAAGGGAAGGAAUUCACACAUUAUCUAUAAAUUUCAAAGAAAAAACUGGAGACUCAUAGAAAGUGAAUAACUUGUCCAAGAUCAUAGCCAGGAAGUGGCAGAACCAGAAUUCUACCAGGAUUGUCCUGUGUAGAACUCAGUUUUUGAGUCUAAGGCAUAGAAUCAGGGAAUCACAUAAGAUAUAAAGACACAACUUUCACAUCAGUAUAGGAAAGAAUUUAAAUCCACUGUCCACAAGGGGUUACUGGCUGAAGGGUUAGUGGGCUCACUAUCUAGUGGUUAGCAUUUGUAGCAGAGGGGAGUCUAUAUCCUGUGACUGGAAAGCAUGGAUAAGGAAGACAGGGACUGAAUUUAAUGACUUGCACUUCCUUCCAAUUCUGUUUAAUCAGUUGGGAGGGUGCAGCAUGUUACAAACUAAUUGUGAUUAGCAUUCUGGAGACAAGUCACUAAAAGUCAAGGAUUUAAUGUUUUACAGAUCUGAUCCACUUAAGUUGACCCAACCUUGAAUCGUGGAAGAGAAGAAAGUUUAGAUCUCUGCCACCCUGCUUUACAGAGACAGAAUAGAAUGAUGAAAAUAGCGACAGCUCUGGACUUACUCAGACCUGGUAUCAAACAGUUCAGCCACUUGCUACGUGAUCCAGAUCAAACAGUACAUAAGUUCAUGGAGUCUGUUUUCUCAACUGCAAAAUAUGAUAAAUCUUGUC
rnacentral:lncRNA from 1 species